rnacentral:rRNA from 1 species
CCUACGGGAGGCAGCAGUGAGGAAUAUUGGUCAAUGGACGCAAGUCUGAACCAGCCAUGCCGCGUGCAGGAAGACGGCUCUAUGAGUUGUAAACUGCUUUUGUACGAGGGUAAAUCCCGAUACGUGUAUCGUGUUGAAAGUAUCGUACGAAUAAGGAUCGGCUAACUCCGUGCCAGCAGCCGCGGUAAUACGGAGGAUUCAAGCGUUAUCCGGAUUUAUUGGGUUUAAAGGGUGCGUAGGCGGUUCGAUAAGUUAGAGGUGAAAUCCCGGGGCUCAACUCCGGCACUGCCUCUGAUACUGUCGGGCUAGAGUUUAGUUGCGGUAGGCGGAAUGUAUGGUGUAGCGGUGAAAUGCAUAGAGAUCAUACAAAACACCGAUUGCGAAGGCAGCUUACCAAACUACGACUGACGUUGAGGCACGAAAGCGUGGGGAGCAAACAGGAUUAGAUACCCCAGUAGUC